rnacentral:rRNA from 1 species
CCUACGGGUGGCAGCAGUGGGGAAUUUUCGUCAAUGGGCGCAAGCCUGAACGAGCAAUGCCGCGUGAACGAGGAAGGUCUUCGGAUCGUAAAGUUCUGUUGAAGGGGAAAAAGAGCGGAGAGAGGAAAUGGUCUCCGAUUGAUAUUACCCUUCGAGGAAGUCACGGCUAACUACGUGCCAGCAGCCGCGGUAAUACGUAGGUGGCGAGCGUUAUCCGGAAUGAUUGGGCGUAAGGGGUGCGUAGGCGGCCUGCUAAGUCUGGAGUGAAAGGUACCGGCUCAACCGGUACAGGCUUUGGAAACUGGCGGGCUAGAGAGCAGGAGAGGGCGGUGGAACUCCAUGUGUAGCGGUAAAAUGCGUAGAUAUAUGGAAGAACACCAGUGGCGAAGGCGGCCGCCUGGCCUGUUACUGACGCUGAGGCACGAAAGCGUGGGGAGCAAAUAGGAUUAGAUACCCUGUAGUC